ACAGAUGAAAAGAAUUAGCUAUACUAAUAGGCUAAGGUUUGGUUUUGUGAGCUAAAGUGAUAUAUAUAUAUAUAUAUAAUUUGCGCCUCUCUUAGUCUCUUUAGUAUCGAUACCGCUUGCAAAAAGAUUCUGCUUACUAUUUUUUCCUCUCUGUAAACCACACGUACUAAAAUUGUCAUCUAAACAUGGAUUAUACUGAAUCUGGUUCUCUCUCACCCCACUAUUUGCUCUGUUUUUCUUCAGCCCAAUUUCGGCCUUUCCUUUUUGCUCUCUCCGAUUUUUUAAGAUUCAGACUGACUGCAAUAAUUGUUGGCUGAAUUUUUUAAGGUCUUGUACAACACAAAUUAACUACCAUGUUAAACUUUGAUUUCAUUUUCUUAGAGAUUACUAAUAAGAUUUGUGCCUUUUUGUUCUUUUUCAAAUUUUCAAUUAUAAGUGUACAAUAACGUUAUUUUGAUGCAUGAUAUGUAUUUGUUCUUCUUUUUUUUUUUUGUCUUUCUUCAUGUUUCUUUGAAAAUUCUGGACAUGCAUUUAUUUAUUUGUUGAAACGCCUCUUAUGAAAAUUAUCUACAUAGGAGCAUACUCUACUACGACAAUGCACAUACUAAUGUACCUAAGGUGUUUGAUAAUAUACCUGAAGCAAUUUUAAUGAACUUUUUGUUUUUUUUUCUUUCACACAGGAGUUCUAUAACUUACGCAUCAUUCAGCAACCAAAAGGUACGGUAUUUAUUGCUGCUAUACAAUAUUGGUAAUUGGAUUUUGAAUUGAAGAGUCGUCACCUAAUGAUUAAUUGCAUUAGAACACCAAGAAGGGUUUGAGUUGAUGAACCAGAGUUUGGGUAAGGGCCAGAAAUUAUCUCGAGGAUAAUGUGUUAGGCACCCCCCAAGAUCCACUAAUAUGGUUCCCGACCAUGUUAUAAUUGUGACUUCACAUAAGCAUAUAAGGGCUUCAAUAGAAGGAAUUUUCAUACAAUAUUGCAAGCAAGUUGAAACUUGAGGACAAGUAAAAAGGGCAGAUAUUUUAAGAAAAGAUUUAAACAAUUCUAAAAGAAGUAGACGAAAGCAAGUAAGGGGAAAGGGUCCUAGGUUUAUGAUUAAUAUGGAUCACAUUAAUGUAAUAACCAGUAAUAACUCCUCAGAAGAGGAGCUACAUGAGGUAUUAGCGCACCGGUCAUCAAAUAAAUAUCUACUCUUCCCACUCCGUUAAGGUAUUAAAGCACAAAAUAGUAUCAUUAUUAUUGCAUGCUAGUACCCGUCCCGAUCUUAUCAGUCCCGGAGGAAUUGAGACUACUAAUCCUGAAUAGGAGAGAGUUGGGGGAUUUUAAGAGUUUUAAAAGGAUAAAAGUCUAGACGACAAACAAAACACAUAAGCAAUUAGGGAAAAAGCAAACAAUAGUUAAGGCUCAAAUAGGCCUCCUCACUUAAAGGCAAAUAUAUAUAGCAUGACUUCAAAUACUGAUUACGAUCUGAAUUAAAUUUAAAAGUGUUAGGAUAAGCUGCUUCAUCACAUAUUUCUCAUAUGAGAAUUCCAAAUUAGGCCUUGUCUGGUUGCAGUUUAUUAAAACUGACACAGUUAAACAAUUACCUACUGAUUGCCUAGGUAGAAGUACACUGAUUUUAAUAAAGGGUUACUGAUUCUAGAACUAAUUAAACUCUGCAAAUAUUAAACAAACAUUACUACUGAUUUAGACUUAUAGGUAUAAUAGACGAAUCAGAUUCAGACAACUGCUCCAAUAGGCAUAUUUUUUAUUGAUUCUAAAAUGUAGGUGCAGGAACCCUAUAGGCAUGGUAUCUAGAAUGAGGUUGAUUAUUAUUAUACCUAUGUUUGCCUAACAAUAGAUGAAUAUGCAGAAGUGCAGAAACAAAAACUAUAAUCAUGAUUUCUAUAUGCAGAAGCUUAUAGCCAUUAUUUCUAAUGCAGUAAUGAAAUAACUUAUAGGUAGGAUUUCUAAAUGCAUAAGUGCAGAAACUUAUACAUGAUUUCUAUAUGCACAAACUUAUAGGCAUGGUUUCUAAUGCAGUAAUGAAACAACUUAUAGGCCGGAGUACUAUAUAAUAUGCAGAAUUUGUAAAUAGUAAUCCUUAUGAGCAUGUUGUCUACCCAUAUAAAUGACCCUUCCCCUUUUCAAUAAAACCCCAUAGUUAUUACAAAUUAUUACAGACCCGAAUGAAUUAAGAAAGAUAAAAAAUAUAUCAUAUUUUCCAGCUGCAACCAAACAGCCUAUUCAAACUCAAGGUCUUACAUUAUGAGAUAAAGCAACUUCCAGGAUGCGUUUUCCAAAAGCCUUUCUUAUAUUUGGGAUAUGUCAAAGUUCCCAAGAGUCUCAAAGGGACUCAAGGCAAUGUUUACACCCCACAUACAUUGCAGAAUUAGAUUAUAGUGUAGUGUGGAAGAGUCAACCCUCAAAUGUCCAAGUUUAGGGGGAACUCAAGGCCCCAAAGCAUGGCUCAUAAGAAGGGGACAAUAACUUAGAAUCUAAGAGUAAGUGUAAGUGCAUAGGGGGAAAUCAAGGAAAGCCAUAGCAGGCUGGUGGUCAUGCCCAACAAUUGGGAAUAUUGGCACACCCCUGACCAACCUAUUAGCCAAACUUAGGAGUUAUGAUUCAUUAUGGAUCAGGUUAUGGCCUGGGCAGUAAUUUUGCUACUGCCAGGCUAAGAACCGUAACUCAAACACAUAGAAGGGAAUAUGGGUAGGGAUUCAUAAUAGAAAUAGAUGCAAGGAAAGAACAUACUCAACAUAAAUCAUUAAACAUGAGCAGUAAAUUAAAUAAGAAUGUUGGAACUGUAAGGUAAACACAUAGGGGUGAGGCAGAAAAAUAAAUCAAAAGCAUACCAGUUUUAGGGGAAAACAAGUAAAGAACAGUAGCCCCGCAAAAAAAAAGAAGCCAAAUUGCAAGCAAAGUAGUUCCAAAAGCUCUCAGCAAAACAAAUUGUUGAAAGAAUAUUGAAUUCAGAAAAACAUUAUAAGUAUUGAAUUGAAGGUUUAAAGAUUGGUAGUGUGAAGGUCGUGUAUUGAACUCGAAGUGUGAAGCUGAAGUUGUAAGGUUUCUUAGAAGUGCAGAAGGGCAGUCCCUUUUAUAGUGCAGAGAAAAACAAGUAAGAAAGGCAAGUGAAUAUCAUUGAAAUCAGUCUCCCUUUGGCUAAGAGGUUCUGAUUCCAAUGGGUAAAAGCCAGUUAAGGAAAAAAAUUUGAUUAAACCUUUCAAAGUAGCACAAAAGGGGUAAAUACACAGAACUUAUUUAAGGAAAACAAUCAACAGUACAAGGUUUGUGCCAAAUAUGGAAAGAGAAUCAAUCAAACAACCAUGAAACCAAAAUUACAAGUUUAAUUUGAAUGAAUCAAGUCAAGAAAAGGUAAAAGAGGUUCAAUCGAAAAAAAGUCAGUGACAAUUCCUCAGCCUUAUUAAAUGGAUUUCAAAAUCAAUCACUUAGUUGGUUAAAAAAACCUUUCGAACAAGAAAUUUCUCAUAUAUAUAAAGCAUACCAAUCAAAUAGAAGGAAUCGUCAUGUUAUUUAGAAAAAGAGUCUAAUAUUGAAAGCCUUAGAGUCACAAGCAAAAGGGAUUCAAGUUCAGUCACAAGCAAAAGGUAUUCUAACAUUGAAAUCCUUGUAUCUUUCCUGGACUUGAUGAUGAUGUCAUCCACAUACACCUCAAUUUCUUUAUGUAUUAGGCCAUGAAAGAUAGUGGUCAUGGCCCUCAUGUAGGUAGCUCCAGCAUUCUUCAAACCGAAUGGCAUCAUUCUAUAACAGUACAUACCCCACGGCAUGAUGAACAUCGUUUUCUCUACAUCUUCUUCAUCCAUCCAUAUCUGAUGGUGUCCAGCAAAACAACUGACGAAUGACUGCAGCUCAUAUUUAGCGUCAAUCAAUAUGUGUAUAUUUGGCAAGGGGAAGUCGUCCUUAGGAUUGGCCUGGUUGAGAUCCCGGUAGUCGACACUGGCUCUGACUUUCCCAUCCUUCUUUGGUACUGGUACGAUGUUGGCUAACCAUGUUGGAUACCCUACCACUCUGAGAACCCUGGUUUUGACUUGCUUGGUAACCUCUUCUUUGAUUUUCAGAUUCAUGUCUGGUUUGAACUUUCUGAGCUUCUGUUUUAUUGGCGGGCAUGCCGGAUUUGUUGGCAACUUGUGAGCCACAAUGGAUGUGUUGAGACUGGUCAUAUCAUCAUAAUACCAUGCAAAAGAUGUCCUCAUACUCUUUUAAGAACUCUUGUACUCUUUCUUUUCUGGUGGUGACAAAUGUACGUUGAUACGUGUUUCUUUGAUAUUCUUUGCGUCUCCCAGAUUAACAACCUCAGUUUCGUCCAAAUUGGACUUAGGCCUAUUCUCAAAAUUCUCGACCUCCCUGAAAACCUCCUCUGGUAUCUCGUCCUCUUCUGAAUCUAUGUCCGUUUGUUGCAUUGCCUCGUUGCAAGUCACAAACGUUGGUUCAUCAUCAAGAUAUGUAAUAGUAAUGUUGUGUAAAAUGAAGUAAAUGAUAGAGAAAAGUAAUAAGAGCGAUAUAUAACAAUAAACUUAGAAAAUGCUUUCGAUUAAAUUCGUAACUAUUUGAAACAUUGGAGCUCUCUUCAAAAGUAAAGACAAUGCAAAAAAGUAAAAUCAACUAAAAGUAAAAUGUGAUGCAUAGUGCGUCGUUUAUCCUUCCAACCCCGAAGCUCUCCGAGAAUUGGUAGUCCUGACUGACCAAUUGGUAAGGCGUUCCCUUCGGUUCACAGCUUGAAUGGAAGGGCCUUCUUCCCCCUCCUCCGCGAAGAUAACACAACAAUCCAUAUCAUCCGCCAUAAAUAGGUUCGUCAUUGCUGCUAGUGCCUUGUUCCGGUCGAAACGUCUGCUGCAGCUGGGGUAUGGGAUGUUCCAAUAGAUAGUAGGGACCACGCCAUGGUGGCGACCAAUGAUUGAACUCCUCCCAGGUGUACUCAUACCCCAGGCCAAAAGUGGUACCAUGCUUCUUCAACUUGAUAGACCUGGUAAUGCCCUGGAUAUUCUUACCAAGUCCAUUUCUAGGCUCAUACCCUCUCCAAUUCAGAAUGCUCUCCACCAAUUCUCCUUCUACCUCCAAUCAUCAGGAUGGUUUGGGGGUUGUAUAUAGGGUUGCUACCGUCGCCAUGAAUGAUCACCUCUUGAAGUUUCCAUUCGAAUUUACAGCUUAUGCAAGGUUGAUGCCACAGGCCCAACGGCGUGGAUCCAAGGUCAUCCCAGCAACAAAUUGUAGAAUGUUGGCACGUCUAUGACUUGGAAGUCAAUAUCGAGCCAAGUAGGUCCCAUCUGUAGGCACAUGCUAAUUUCUCCGAUGGUGGAUCUUUGAGAUCCAUCAAAAGCUUUAACACUGAUUGCUCCGUCUUUGAUCUCAUGCAGUCCUAUACCCAAUGUCCUGAGGGUUAUUAACGGACAUAUGUUAAGGUUGGAUCCCCGUAGACUAAGAUCCUGGUGAUAAAAUAAUCUUCGCAUUGUGCAGUGAUGUGCAAUGCCUUGUUGUGACUAAGCCCUUAUGGUGGUAACUCAUCCUCGUGGAAGGUGAUCUUGUGGCUCUCCAGCACCUGCCCUGCCAUAUUCGCCAUUUCGCCUCCUGUUAUGUUGCUAGGAACAUAAGCUUCACUAAAUAUUUUCAUUAAGGUGUUUUUAUGUGCCUCAGAGCUUUGCAGAAUAGCCAAAAUAGAAAGUUGUGCUGGUGUUUUGUUCAGUUGCUCAAUGACUAAGUACUCUUUGGCAUGUAUCUUCCUCCAAAGGUCAUCGAGUCCAAUUUCAACAGUUCAUCCAUAGGCUUUCUUGCUGGACUCAGCUAAAUGUUCUGAGGUGUACACCCUGCUUGUCUUGGUCAUGCCCUGCGCGGCGAUUGUUUCUCCAGUAUGUGUUUUUCCUUUCCUUCUAGCCUCAACGGUGUAAUCCCAAGGUAUGGCGUUUGACUUGAAUGUGAUCACAUAUGUCAUGGAAACCGAAAUAGGCAUCCUAGGAUGUAACGUAACACAGUGACUUCAAAUGCUGCAGGUGCCUUUGGAAUCCGAACUCAACCUCAAUCGGUUUUGGCGCCUAUUCAGGAGGUGUUUCAAACUGGAGAGGUACAGACACAUUUACUACAUUGCCCUCAGAGGGCUGGAUCUGAACAACAAUGGGAUUGAGGGUAACUGCUGGCUUCUUAGGCUCAUCUUCUUCUGCUAUCAAACUGAUUGACCCCUUGGGGUCCAAAUCAUCUUCAAUCUCACUCAUAUGGAUGCCUCCACACUUGUGGUCAGGCAGAGGGUUGUUACGGACAUUGGGAGCGGGCCUCUUUGCUACAAUGACCUUGUUGUCAAUCAGAGUCUGAAUUUUGUUUUUCAACGAGCAACACUCGUCGAUGGUAUGGCAUUUCAUCCCGAAAUGGUAUGCACAAGUCUUGUUUGGGUUUAUCCAUUGAGAGGGAUUUUUUGGAGUUACAAUGGUAUAUGGGUAACGUAACCGGCUGUUUUGAGUUUUUCAUAUAAUUGGUCAAUUGCCUCGGCUAUGGCGGUAUAUUGUAUGGGAGGUCUUCUGUCGAAAUUUGGUCUGGGUCGAGGAAAGAUUUGGCGGGUAGGUGGUGACGGGUAGUGAGAAGGUUGGGAGUUGUAUGCUUGGUAUACAAGUGUGGGUUGGGAAUAUCUGGGUGAGGUAGGUUUAUAUGUGGGUGAUGGAGAUGAUUGAUAGACGGGUGGUGGAACUUGAUAAGUAGGUGCUGAUGCUUGAUAGUUUAGGACGGUUGAUAUGUGAGUGGAGUUGAGGGAUAGGUUUGGUACUUUAUAGGGGAAUGAUUCCUUUGCGCAGCCAUUACGAAAUUUAUGUCCUUUUUCUUUGACGAGCCACCAGACUGUAAAGCCUUGUUGGUAGCUUGCAAUGCCUCGAGGUUAGUGAACAUACCAUUUUUGAUGCCCUCUUUGAUCCUUUCUCCCAACUUGAUGAUGUCGGAGAACUUUUGACCCUCUAUUAGCAUCAGCCUUUCAUAGUAUUCCGGAUCUUAAGAACGGACAAAGAACCUAUUCAUCUGCUCUUCCGCCAAGGUUGGCCUGACCUUAGCAGCUUCCGACCUCCAACGAGUAGCAUACUCAUGGAAGGUCUCUUUGGGUUUCUUUUUUAGAUUCUGGAUAUAGAAUACAUCUGGUGCACUCCCAGUGUUGAACCUAAAUCGAUCCAUAAAGUCAGACGCCAUGUUCACCCAAUUUGUCCAUUUCUUUGCAUCCUGGAUGAUAUACCAGGAUAGAGCAUCGCCUUUCAAACUCAUCAUGAACAUCUUCAUGCGGAUUUUCUCAUCCCUUCCAACUUCUACCAGCUUAUCACAAUACAUUCUCAGGUGAACCUUGGGAUUACUAGUACCGUUGGACAUUUCGAACUUAGGAGGUUUGUACUCCUCCGGGAGUUUGACAUCUGGAUGAACGCAGAGAUCUUCAUAAUUCAACCCUUCAACGCCUUUACUACCUUCGACACCCUUGAUCUGGCUAAUUAACUUCUUGAGUUCAGUGGCUAAAUUUUGGAUGACAGAGUCCUUGCUAUCUGUUUCAGGUAUGUCUGAGAUGGGCUGGGUAUAAUGGGGUAUGUUAUCCACAAAUAUGGGAGUGUUCUGGUCAUUUGUGGUGUUUUGGGGCUCGGGAAUGAGCACUGGAGUGUUAUUGCACGUGUUACAGGCUUGGGCAUGAGUGGGUUGUGUUGGUGGUUGCGGGAUAUUUUGUGGAGGUGUAGGGUUCUGGGUGUAAAUAUCAGGGGAGGCAAGAGUGAUUUACAGGCUUGCUAGGUUCCGAACUUGGUCCAAUUCCUCUCGAAAUCUCAGAAAAGUUUGCUCAAGAUGAGCAGCAGUCUCCUUGGUAAUUGCAGCAUUUUGAGAAGUUUCCACAAGUUCCUUUCUAUCGCUUGCAUCUCCCAUUUUGCCUUUGUUCCUAUUUCUGGUAGGACUUGGGGGAGGAGGAGAUGAAGGAUCCUUGGAUCUUGUUGAGUAUGCUGAAGGUGCCAGAAUGCACAAACUAACCUUUGGGGAGGGGAAAAAAAUAAAAACAAAAAAGGUAGAAAGUUAGUGCGAGUUCUGAGAAAUAAUAUUGUGAUAUUUAAACACGUUGUGCAAUAGUAUAAGUCGUUUCCUAAUUUGGGUGCCUCAUUGUGCCCGAGGAAAGCCUAGCGACUAAUUAAAUUUGGAGAACUUAUAAUGCUAAAUGCCUCAUUUUAUUGAUAAAACAAGACGAGUCUUAAAACAACUGAAUUAUAAAAGAUGUCACUAAUGGCUAGUGGCCUUAUUACAUUAAGAAAGCAUGAAAAAAAAGAUCCUAAUUACUUGAUCCCAGAAGGACCUUCCCCAGAUUUGAUACUCUUGCCUCCUUCGUACAGUUGCACAACUGAAUGAUAAAAGAUGUCACUAAUGGCAAGUGGCCUUAUUACAUUACGAAAAUAAAGAUCCUACCUAUUUGGUCCCAGAAGGACCUUCCCCAGAUUCGGCACUCUUGACUUCCUCGUACAGCUGCAUCAACUCGGGCAGUCCUAACAAUGAUAGGCUCGGGCCAGAUGUCCGCCUGCACUUCCGUCAGCAUUCUGACAAUCUUCAAUUCUCUUCAAGAACUUCCCUUCCAACUCCACUAUAACUCGCUCAUGAUACCCCAACCGAUUAUUGGCGUUGACAGUCAUAUCCUUCCAGUCGUUCAUAAGCUUCUUGUGAGCUUCCUAUAUUUCCCGAUGUUCAUACUCACAUUCUCGCAUCCUCUUACGCAGCUGAUUGUAUUUGACUUGCGCUUCAAUUUUCUCAUCAACUAUCCUAUGACCAUGGACGAAUCCUGGACGACCCAAAUCGAUGUGAUCAUCUUCCAACCAACCUGUGUAGUGCGGUACACACCCGCCCUGAUACUUGUCCGGUUCAAUAGACUCAUUCCCUAAGACGAGCUUGCAGUGCCACAUAUGCUGAUGCGUGACACCUCUGCGGGCUAUCAUCAUCUUGAAAGUCGGCCCUGAAAUGACUCAUUUUCUUUAUCUUGGGUAUGAUCUUCUUUUUUUUCCAGCUUGCCUCAUGGAUCGGAAAGGGACACAAGGAUGAGUUCCCCUCAGACCGAUGAGAAUGAGGAAUGGCGCAUCUUGAGAACGGACAAUUAACUCCCCUAUUGGGAACCACUCGAACAUCCACUCAACUUGCUCUUCCUUUAGAUUUUCAAACAACUCUACCCAUCCACUGGCGUCCUUUGGCUGAGCGAACAUAUUGGGUAUGAAGUUCAUUCGCUUUGGGUGGUGAAAAGCGAUAUGGUCAUCCCAAUCCCUGCGGAUGAUUUCCUGUCUAUAGUCGCCUUUCUGAAGGUGUUCUAUUAGCCACAGUUGAAGUAACAGAUUACAACCCUCGAAGUGCGGAACCCCUUUUUGACAUUUUCCCAAGGCUCGAUACAUCUCGACAAUGAUCAUGUGCACUAUGCUGAAAGUUUGCCCAUCAAUACCCUCCAUUAAGGUUUUGGUCACCAUGGCUAGUCUGGUGUGGAUUCUAGCCUUCUUCAUAGGAAAUAUCAUUAUACCCAAGAAUCAUAACAUGAACACAAAGACACUCCUAUGUAUGUGGCCCAAAGAGGUGAGGGCGAACUCGUUAGUGUAGGUGUGAUAGGACUUGCUAUGACCAUACCUCGCGUACAAGAAAUCAAAUAGUAUGUAGGAGUCCUUCAGAUAAGCUAGGUCGGGAUUUUUCUUAAGUCCCAUCAGCUUAAGGAAGCCUCUACUUUUGCGGUUUUUUGGCAUAAGCAGACCCGGAGUCUCCCAAGGGAUACCAGCUAAACCCCCUAUUUCUUCCAGUAAAUGGGUCAUUUACAAAUCCUCGAAGCGAAACACUGAUGUAUCACUAUCCCAGAACAGAGUUGCAGACUCUGUGAUUUUGUUGUUAGGCUAGAUUUCCAGAAGUGAGGGCAAAUUUCCUGAGUACUUGCGAACGAGGGUUUGAUCGUUGACAUGAAGAUCUUCGCACCAGUUUAGCAGCCUCGGGUGAAUGUUGGACACCACACCGAAUCUGGGGACUUUGUGCCUCAUUUUAUGCAACAAAAAGUGUUAGGCUCUUAACCCCACCAGCCUCAACUAUUUAAAUCAAUAAUUAGCAAAAGCGCAUUUAGUUAUCCAAAUAAAUGCACAUAACGUGGAGGUGUCCAUUUGGGAUUCGAGAAAACCCGGUGGACUUUGGUUUAGGCUAUCUUAAGGAGUGAUUAUGUGGAAAACAUAACUGACUCGGCUAGGGUUGACCAUGAUGCAUGAACAAAUUUAUGGAAUAAGGUUUCUAAUUUUGAAGUGCUAGACAAGGUACCCUUGAGCGGACAACUCAAGAGGGAAAGUCGGGAACUGUCGACUACACAGUUGAUCGACUGGUUUUACCGUAAAUAUGCCUUUGCCACAUUUAGGGGUUAUAAUAUCGGAAGGGCGCAACCACUCAUUAUAAGUGUUGUUGUAGGAUUUGUUUUGGCACAAGUGAAAUAUGAUGUCGAGGAAUGCAUCUACAAUAAUGAAGCAAAUUGCAUGUAUUUUCACGUUCAUAAAGAUUACAAUAAAUGCUCGGAAAUUAAAACAGAAUUGAAAUAAUAAGGCAGUAAAAAAAGAAAUUAAAAGGAAAGUAAAACAUAAAGAGCCAAGUUAGUAUUUUUGAUGAAAUAAUUAAAAACAGAAAGUAAAUGCAAUUAAGGAAGCAAUAAAGUCACAAAAGCACGUAAUGGUUAAAACCUUAAAAAUUCCCCAGCAGAGUCGCCAUGCUGUCGACGCCCCAUUUUCUCGCGAAGGCACGUUUCGACUUUAUGGACAAAACAACUCUUUUAUUCCCUUUUGAGGAAUCGGCUUAUAGAUUUUGGAGAGUCGCCAACUAAUGAUUAUAGUGCAUUAGGACACUUAAAAAAAGAAAAAGAUUUUAUGAAAGAAAACCAGAGUUCGGGGAAGGUCUUGAGAUUAUCUCGAGGGAAAGGUGUUAGGCACCCCUAAAGAUCCACUAGUGUGGUUUUCGACCAUGCUUAAUUUUGACUUUAAGAAGAAUGAGAAUAAACAAGCAAAGUUUGCACAUAGGAAGUAUAAACAAGUUGAAAAUUUUGAAAGAAGAAAGAUACAAGUGAUUUUGAAAAGAGAAAACUUAGUUGAAGAAAACAUUAAUUUAAGAAAAUAUCAAUAAAUAAAGAAAGAGAAAAGGGUCCUAGGGUUAAAUAUAAUAUGGAUCACUUUGCAGUAAUACCCAGCAAUCAUUCUCAUACGAGAUAUAGCGCACCAAUCAUCAUAUCCAUAUUCUACCCUUCCCACCCUGUUAAGGUAUUUAAACGGGAUUAGUCUCGUUUUACUUAUCGCAUGCUAGUACCCGUCCAACCUAUCAGUCCUAGGGUAUUAAGACUUCUAAUCCUAAAGGGAAAGAAAAGGGGUAGAGGCAUAUAUGGGGGUUUAAAAAGACAAAAUACUAGUUUCGUCAAUCAAAACAAAUAACAAGUAAGGGGAUUGACACACAAACAUGCAAGGCUCACAUAAAACCCCGUAAAUCAUAUAACACUUAGUUUAGCAUGCCUUACAUAUACUAAUUUGUCUUAAAUUGAAACUUAACAGCGGACGGACCAUUUUGACACAUAGAAUUAGAUAAAAGGUCUACAUUAGGCAACUUGGAUCCAAUUGAUAGGAAUUGGAGUAUUUUAACGAAUUACUGGUUGUUUUUGAAUUAAAAAUUAAGCGGCGGACGGACCGGUUUAACACAUAGAUUUAGAUAAAAUAUCUACAUUAGGCAACUUGGAUCCAAUUGCUAGGAAUUGGAGUAUAUUAACGAAUUACUGAUUACGGGUCUAAUACAGAAAAGUUUGGAAAAAGAAGCAGAAGCUUGUAGAGGUUCAGAAAGGUUUCAAAAAUCGACAGAACCAUUUAAACAAAUGUAGAGUAGAGUUUUCAGAAGUAAAGUACUUAUAAAAGGAAAAGGGAGUUUGAAAGCUGUUUUGAAAGUAACUUCAUAAAAAUUCAGACAGAGAAUUGGAAAAGCAAUUUUAGAGAUAGAAAUGCAAGUUUUAAAGUUGCAGUCAGGUUUGGACGAAUUUGUUGAAAAAGUUGAAAUAAUUCCCAGAUUACUACUUAUAUAACUUAAGCGAACUUGAGAUCCUAUAGGCAGGAUAUCUACUUUGGUUUUAUUGACUCAUUGCUAUUUUAAGCGUUUAAGGGAGGUGAGUAUUGGAUUACCCUACUGUUUGCCUAUCUUUUAUGCAUUUCUAUAGGCAUGGUUUCUAUAUGCUUGAAUAAAAAAAUGUAAAGCCUACAGAUAUGAUCUCUAGGUGAUUUAAAGUAUUAAACAUGUAGGCAUGAUAUCUAUAUGGUCGAAUUCGAACAUUGAUACCCAAUAGGCAUGAUAUCUAAAUGAUUGAAUUGCAAUAUGAAUCCUAUGAGCAUGAUAUCUAAGUAAUUGAGCAACAACGUUGGUCCUAUAGGAAUGGUAUCUACCCUUUGACAUAUGCAAGAAAAUAUAAAAUCCCUCCCAUCCCAUUUAAUAAAAUACUCCCCGAGUUCUUUUUACAAAGUUAUUGUUACAGAACCAGAAGUAAGAAAGCAAUUAAAAUACAUCAUAGCCCACAGCUAGAUCCAAACUGCCUAAUGCAAUCUCAAUAUCCGAUACAUGUGUUUCACCAAAUCCGUAUUCCAAAUUCCAAGGCCUUCUCUUUAUUCAGAGUGUUUCAAAGUUCCAAGGAGCUUCAGGAGCCUAAGAAAUGCUUACACUCUGAAGAGUGAAUAUUGUAACAGAGUAGUGGAAGUGUGAAAUUACCAGCCCUCAGGCAUCCAAGUUCAUAGGGAACUCUAGGGUCCCUAAGCAUGGCUUACCCGGGGGGGGGGGGGGGGGGNNNNNNNNNNNGGGGGGGAGGGGGUAGAACUUAAGAACUAGGAACAAGUGCAAAGUGAGAGAGGAACCUCAGUAGGAGGUGGUCAUACCCAGCCAUGGUAUAGACUAGAACACCCAUGACCCCUUACUCAGAUUCAAACAAAUAAGAGCAGACUCUUAGAGAGUCAAACUUAGGUCUGAAUGGUGAUUAGGGCACCAACAGACCCAAAUUAAAACUCAACACAUAGAGGGGAGAGGGAAUGGGAAAGAAAUUGAGUAAAUACUCAGGAGAGUCUAGUUUUGGAUCACAGACAGCAAUUCAAAGUGAGUCCAUGGUUCAGGACAAUACUCACAUACAAAAGGAAUAGGGGGAAAGGGUUAAAAGCAAACAUAAAGAAGCAUAAUAUGCUUGAAUGUAAUCACAUUAUGCAGGAAAGCAUAAGUAAAUACACAAGGAAAGAAGUGUAGAAGAGGAGAAGUUAAACACAUAACAAAGAGGGUAAUAUUUAACUAGGAAAACAUACCAGUCGCAAGUUUUAGAACAUCAGAAUAGCAACAGCAAAAAACAGCCAGACAGUCAACAUAAACAAACUCAAGGAACUUCAACAAGCACUUGGGAGUUCAGAGAAACUCCAGGAGAUCAUAUAGUAGGAGAGAAAAGAGAAUAGUGCUCAGCAGUAGAAAGAAAAUAGAGAGUAGUAAUAGCAGUAGAGAGUAGUAAAGAAUAUUUCAAGAUAGAGAUUUCUGUGUCGAAUUGUUGUUGUUUUUUAAGUGAAUUGAUUAAUGAGUGAAGAGAGGAGCAUGUAUUUAUACUUGAAGUCAGGCAUGUAAAAAAGGAAAGAAAAUAAUCAAGUAUCAAUCAGAAAACAAUCAGCAGAAGGAAAUUCAUUUAAUUAAGGAGUUCAUAUUUGAAUGGUAAAAGGGCAGAAGCUAUUUAAGGAAAGAGAAUCAAGUAGCAUAUCAUGCACAUCAUGAAAAUAAGGGAUAAAUACAUAGGGGGAAGUUUUAAACACAUGGUAAAGUAAAUAAGGCAAGAAGUAAAUCAACUAGUACAUAGUAAAUCAGGGAAUCAAAGAUUCGAAAUCAAUAAUGAACCAAGUCAGAAAAUAAGGGAAUAUGAAGGUUCAAUUUAGAUAGGGAAAGAAUCAAUCAAUUUCACACAAUGGCAGUCUGAAAUCAAUCCCCAAAAUCAGAGGUUACUCUGAGAGGAAAAUCUACAUAUAAAGAGUGCAUAGGUUUUGAACAUGCGAGGUUAGAUUCAAAAUAAAGAAAAGUAUCAUGCAACCAAAAUAGGUGAAUAGGGAACUACUAGGUAAGGGGGAAAAUCAUAUGGCAUGCAAAAAGUCAGGUAAAAGGUCUUGCAAAGCUUGGCAAGAGACAGAAUCACAUAGAGAAACAAAAAUGAGUUCGGAACUUAGGGUUUUAAAAUCAAAUUAACUCAGAGAAGAGAAACAAACAAAAUCACAUACAAGUGGUCUGAAAAACCCCAAAUUCUAGGGUUUCCGCCAUUGAUCAGGUGUAAAGACGAAAGCAGACAAAUCAGGCCAAAGUAACAAUGAAACGAGCCCAAAAGACCCAAAGGAACUAAAAACUUAAACAUUUCAGGAAAACAUAAUAAGGGAACAAAAUAUUGUAAAAGAACUCACAGAGUGAUGGUAGAAGAUAGCAUAGUAGAAGAAAACACAUAGAAAUCACAGUACAAACACAUAAGAGUCACAGUAGAACAAGUAAAAUCGAAGAAACCCUAAGUCGGAGAAGAUGAAUAGGCUUUGAAAUAAAAGUUUUGAAAGAGACUUAUGAAAAUCGUUUGAAAACCUUAAAAAAACACGGAUCUAAAGCAUAUCUAGAAAAAAAUAGAAAAACCUCGAAAGGUUAGGGUUUCAGAAGAACCCUAGAAGCGAGAAAGGCCUGGAAAAGGGUCUGCUCCAAGUCGAAUGAGUCAAAGAUGGACUCAUAGGGCUAGGGUAUGCCGGAGUUGAACCGGAGAUGGCCGUAACACUCGAAUUGGUAGCAAUAUGAGCGAAGGCCUUCAGACUCGAACCUUGAAUAUUCAAGUAACAGGGGUAUGAGGGCACAUGAGGGUGAGUAUAGGCCACCCAGGACUUGGGACGCCAUAAAUUCCGGUGAAACAAUGUGGAAACCGGUGGAGUAGGGCUAUGGUUUCGGAGAGGGGUUAGAGAGAGUCUUAGAGACGAAGGGAAUCUAGAAGCGGCUAUUUUGGAUAAAUGACUAGGGUGGGUUGAUGAAUUAAAAAGGAAUGAGAGAAUCGUGGCCGUUGAUCAUUUAUGACGAGUGCGUUUGGAAUUGGGUCAAGGGGUUGGGUAAUUGUGUCGUUUUAAUUAGGAUUUAAUUUGGGGUCAAAUGUGGCUAAAAUUGAAAUGGAAAUGGGCUAGCUUUUAAAUAGCCACUUUCUCCCUUUUUAAUUAAUUAAAAUAGCUAAAAAUAAUUUAAUAAGAUAAAAGCACUGAACUAGUUAAUAAUAUAUAUGCAUUAAUCAAAAAUAUCUGGAACAAUUUGUAAUUAUAAAAUGUAAUUAAUUAUAACAUAGGCUAUAAUUGCAAUUUUGAACAAUUUAGUUUAAAAAUAUCAGACAAAUUUAUAAAAAAAUAUGCAAAAUUCACCAUAAUUAUAUUGGUGUAAAUAUAAUGGUGGAAAAUAAAUGGUUUACAAAAGUGACAAUUUGGGAAUAAUUAUUGAGGUUUUAUACUGUUAAUAAUAGAUAAUAAAUCAGUUCUAAAAAUCUAUAAAAAUUAGGAAAAAUACUAAACCUUUGGGGAUGCUUAUAUAUACAUAUGCAUGCUAUUUUGAAAGUAAUACAUAGGAAAAAAUUGGGUAUCAACACUUAGCGAUGUCUCCUAAGGGAAGACGAUCGAUGACCGUCUCAAGAAGAAUUACAAAGUAAAGAAAAACUUACGAGCAAAGUUCCACGUCUUUGGAAAUCUAGCCGAGUCUGCCACAAGGUGCUCCAUCCGCACAUAGAAGUAGCUUUACCAAAAGAAACAAUUGGACUUGUCAUCCAUCUUUACCACCAAAAUCUUGGCUCCUCGAUAGCGCAUGUGGAUCAUCGUACCUCGAAGAAAAUGAGGGGCAAAGAUAUGAGCAUCUAUAGCAGGGAAAUUCCUUGGCCGACCAGCUCCACGUACUUGAUGAGCAUAAGAAAGAGUUUAUACACAUACAGGAAGAGUUGAGACGGGAACAUUUCAUAGAAUCAGCAAAAGUCUACCACCAAGGAAGGGAGGGGAAGCGUGUACCCGACAACGAAGGGGUACGCGUAAAACGUGCAGUACCCCAGACGGUGCAGAUGCACAAUAUCCUUCCCCACUGGCACCAUUUGAUAUGAUCAGGGAUUUCCCACAUAGCUUUGAGUGUCGUGAUCGCCGCCUCAUCCAUGGUGGAAGGAACAUGCUCCGACUCACUUCUUAAAGGGCUGUAAAAAUUAGUCCUCACCUUUCUCGGACGAGGAACUAUCUCAUCCACUAUUGGAAAUCCCUCAUCUUCCACCACCUCUACUCCUUCUUCGAGCAGGGAUGCGUCGUUUUCUGGCACCGGAGCACCAACAAAUCUAUCGGAUUGGGAAGAAGUACUAGUCAUUUGUCUCUCUUGAUAGAAGUAAAUAAGAAUGGUUUGGAAAAAUAUAAUGGUCACUACAAAUUCUAUCAAAAGCAGAAGUAUGAAAGACCAUAGGAAAGGGAAGUUUGCAAAAUUUCUUUCUCAGGUAAAUUGAAAAACACAACAAUCAAAUAAAGGAUUCCCCCUAUUUAUAGGACAUAAAUAUCCUGAGCGGGAAAUGCAAGAGCCGCCAUCCAAAAAUAAAUAAAUAAAUAAAAGGGCACGAUAAAUGAUAUGGUGCCUGAAAAAUGUGCGUCAUAAUGAUGCUUAAUAGGUAUUCAGGGUACAUUGAAUCGAUGCAACGAUCCAACUCUAAACUAACAUAACGGUCCAAUGAAAUCCCAGAAGCGUCACGUCGCCACCUUGCCUUAAGGACCUCGUUCCGCGCAUAAUAUUCAAAUUUCUCCUAACUUUUGAAUCAAUGGAAUCCGCAUAUCGAGCUAGCCACUGCCGAGAUCGAGCCGUCAAAAGGCCUGCGUGACAGCACAUACGUUGUACUACUCGGGUAAGUAAGUAAAAGUAUAGUCAUGACUCAUGAGAGGGUUCGUUGGGUAGAGACCGUUGGAAAAAGGGGGAGGUUGAUAAUACAUAUAUAUAUAUAUAUAUAUAUAUAUAUAAGUCAAGGAAAAGUGGAUCCCAUUCAAGAAAAAAGAGGAGACUGUUACAUCCCAUGUAUUCGUACGUGAAAGUACGCCAUAAGUAAAUUGAUGAAAACUCGAAAAUGAGAUAUUACAUCCCACAUUUUCGUACGUUAAAGUUUUGUUGUAAGUUAAUCGACAUAAGUUCAGGAAUGAGUAAUUUAACAUUAUAAGCAUUUUAUGUUAUUUCAAACAAGUAGUGAGUAAAUUCGUAAAGGCGAGGGUAAGUAAAUCGGGAAAAAUAAAUCUCGUCGAAGUUUGAUAUUUUGGGAUAAAAUACGGGCCGAGGUAAAAUACCAAGUAUUUAUGGAUUAGUACCAUACAAGGUACCACAUGACCAUAAUAAUAAGGUAUAUAAGGUAUGUUAAAAGUAAGUAGUAUUUUAAGUAAUUUGAGAUAAUUCUUAAUUGUGGGAAUAUUGGGUAAUUAUGGAUUUUCAAGUGGGAUAUUAAUUUGUAAAUGAAAUUUUUGGAUAAAGAUUAAGGGGGACAACCCCAUCCCCCUCCCCCCAAACGUGGCAUCCCUUUAAGAUCAAUUAUGCGACUCUUAAAUUCACAUAAAAGAUGGCAAAAUAUGGAAUAGUCUUUGGCCAACAAAGCUAUAAAGUGGGGCACACUCCCAAAGCUUAUGAAAACCAUUCUAAAUCAUUUUGAAUCUCUAAAAUGAUAAAGGAACUCCAACAACUCAUUACAACGUGACUUUGCAACCAAAAAUCAUACGAGACUAUGUAAUUUUAUAGCAAAGGAAUUUUGCAAUUCUAAUAGAGCGCAGUACAAUCUUUCUCAAGAAUAUCAUACGGAUUCUUUCCUACUUUGAUCUGCUAUUAUGUGAUUUUCCUUAAUUGAAGUGUGUUAGAGGUAUUAUCAAGAGAAACGACGACUAUCCCUUAUUUCUUUUGGAAUCUAUAUGACACAAACGAAACGAGAAAAUACACAACUUUCAUAAAUGACUCUAUUCAUAGAAGUAUUAUGAGUACCUAUGUUAUUGAAUUCCCUUGUAUUUUGUUAUUCUAUCAUCUGUUCAUGGGUCUCAUAGAAAUAUGUAAGUUGAACAAAAAGUUUACUUCAUGAUAUUACUCAAAGGCGUAAUGAUCUUAUGAUAUUCCAAGAGAUGUUAUUGACGUACUUAUCAUGCAUUGCGUUCAUUUACAUGGACCCAUGAUCAGAUGGCGUUAUAUAUGUGUAUAUAUGUUUAUUAUAUGUAUAUGGCAUAUGUGAAAAGGUCACAGCAUUAUAUACGCACCACUACCUGAUCAGCUAGUAUACAUUGAUGAUUGGCACACAAUGGCUAAAGUGAUAUGAUGGGAUGCCCUCACAGGCUUGAUGAUGUUAUGAACGCAUAUUCCUAUGCAUGGUAUGACAUUUACACGCAUAUGCAUGACAUUAUAAAAAUUAAACGAUUCACAGAGCUAUGCAAACAUACAUGUCGAGUCUUUUACUCCAUAUUUAUCUUAUGUCUAUUAUUUACUUAUUUUUAUUCUUGACAUACUCUGUACAUCAUUUGCACUGGGGAUGCUGCAUUUCAUGCCCGCAGGUCCCGAUAGACUGGUCGAGAGCCCUCCAAGUAGACUAUCAGCUCAGCAAAAGAUGUUGUUGCACUCCAUUUGCUUCGUAGUUGCUUGUUUGGUUAGUAUAAUUAGACGUGUAUUGUUUGGUAUGGAGGGACUCUGUCCCGAUAUUUAUAAAAAUUAUGUAUUCUUAGUGGCUUGUAGAUAGAUGUCAUGUACGUAAACGAUUGUAUGGCUUUGUCGGCCUAUGUUCAGU
rnacentral:lncRNA from 1 species